AGUGAACGCUGGCGGUAGGCCUAACACAUGCAAGUCGAACGGCAGCACAGGAGAGCUUGCUCUCUGGGUGGCGAGUGGCGGACGGGUGAGGAAUACAUCGGAAUCUACCUUUUCGUGGGGGAUAACGUAGGGAAACUUACGCUAAUACCGCAUACGACCUACGGGUGAAAGUGGGGACCGCAAGGCCUCACGCGGUUAGA
rnacentral:rRNA from 1 species